rnacentral:lncRNA from 1 species
UCUAAGGUCCUUUCUGGCUCUAGAACUAUGAUCCUCGGACAGUGACCAGCAGUACCCCCCAGCUCGGCUCCCUUAAAGGAUUCACUGAGACGGUAACUAGAACUGCCCAUCCACUACUGUAGUAAUCACCCAUAUAUUUGAUUUGAGGUGGGGAGAGACCCAGCAACAAAGCACCAGGGUAAUUAAACCCCCUAGCUUGGUACCUCUGCUUUGGCACAUCGAUCCCUGGAAUAAUUGAUUGACUGCAAAGUGGGGAGGGACCAGAACCACAUGAAGAAGAGAAAAGAGCCAAGGAUGACUCCAAGAUUUGGCCUAAGAGUGACUGAGAAUAUGGAAUGCCAUCAGAAGAAUUCGGGAAGAGAUGAGUGGGGGAAGAAGUGUCUGGAAAGCAAUGCAGUCAACUCCAACUGAGUGGCAAUGAGUUGGUAGAAAGGAGGUAUACACUCCCCGAGGUACAUAGGAGAGGACGUGAUGCUACUGGGGGCUGUUGCCCCUGCCUCCUGGGGGAAGACAAUCUCAGUGCAACCUCUUCCUCUUCAGAUAAAGACAUUCUUAAGAGUUGGGGUGAGCUGAAACAGUUAACAGAUUGUGUAUUACCUUUUACCUGUUCUACAGUCAUAACAUUUAAAUGCUUACUAUGUAGUUUCCUCAUCUGUAAAAUAGGCACAAUAAUUGCACCCACCUUAGAGGUUGUUGUGAUAAUUAAUAUAUGUAAAACACUGCAAAUCUUAAAGUCCUGUGUGAAUUAGUUACUGUUGUUGCUACCUCCCCAGAGCAGACCUUACUCACCGGUAAACUGAGAUUCAGAGCUGACAAUCACACUAAACCAAACCAACCACUUGUGAGUCACCUACAUCAGUGAUGCAUUCCAUGAAUCACCCCCAUUUUCAGAUGGAGGGAGAGUACUAUUUAGGUCUGAGUUGGGACAAUUUAAGAGACAUUUCUUCCCAUCCCCAUUCUAAAGUAAGUUCUUGGAAAAGGAUGGAAGAAAGGCACAAAAUUCACAUUAGUGGUGAUCCAUGAGUCAUCUAACCUACCCCCUUUUCCUUUGAGUUGAACAAUAAUCUAAUCAGUACUACCAUUGCUUCUGGGCUGGGCACAUGAACCAUCAAAUGUCCAAUGGCCUCUAUCACCCUUCCUUGGCUACCACCAUC